ensembl:lncRNA
AGACUGUUGUGAAUCGGAGCUAUCACAAGUAUUACAAAUCAUAAUCACCACCAUCACUGUCAAAUAAGCAUGUAUUCCCGGUGGCAGCUUAAAUCAGCAAUACAAACGAUGUGCUCAUUUUCCUUUUGUUUAUCAUGAGUACUGAAAGUCACCACUACAGUACUGAACCAGAGGUCUAUUAGUGAAGAUUUACAAUUUUCCAGUAAAAGCCUAGAAUCUGUGGCUAUAAGGAGGAAGUUUUUUACUGUAAGGGUAGUGAAACACUGUGAUGGGUUGUCCAGAAAAGUGGUGGAUGCUGCAUUGCUGGAGACAUUCAACGUCAGGCUGGAUGGGGCUCUAAGCACCCUAAUCUAGCUGUAGGUGUCUGUUCACUACAGGGGAGUUGGACUAGAUGGCCUUUAAGGGUCCCUUCCAACUCAAACGAUUCUAUGACACAAUUCUAUUCUAUGAUCUGCGGACAGACUUGUCUCUCCAUCUAGCAGAUUGCUAUGUAAGGUUUACUUUGAAUCACCUCUUUAUAUCUGCAGGUGCAUUGCAUCUCUAGAAGUAGAUAGUGAACAGGAGUAAGAGGACCAAUGUCUCUGGAAUGCUAAAAGGGAAUAUUAAAAUGGUGCUGCACAAAAAAUCCAAACUGAAGAAACUCUUGGGUAAGGGGUACAACUCCAUAUCAAAGAAGAUGUGAGUUCUCAUUGCCAAGAAGGCCAAAGGAUUCCCCCUUUUCCUUCACUGGAGUGCAUAGUUGGGAAGGAUUUAGAAUUCCUCCAUUAUGUUUCAUGUGUUUUAUGUCAUAAUUAUUAGGUUAAAAAAAAAAAAUAAAACUUGGACAUUUCCAUAAAGUAUACCCUUUUCUUCAUUUGCAUAACAAUGUAUAAGGGUUUGAAGUUGUGAGAUGCUUAAUUACUUUGAAAUCCCACUCAUUGAAUGUGUGUUCUGACUUGUGUAUACCCACUGUCUGCAGUGUAAUUUUAAGUAUACAGUGCUUUGCAUAAUUUCAUCUGUAAACAGCUGCAGAAGCUCCUGCUUUACAUAAACAACAACUGCUCAUCAUAGUCUCAGAAAGUCAUGGGUCUGUUUUAUAAACAAACAAACAAAAAACGCCUAUGCAUAAUGCAGUAUUUGGAAACAAACUUGGACAUUACUCACUCUUCAGAGCCUCUCCUGGUUUUGUUACCUCACACAGAAGAAGCUGACAUGCCUCUCCAUUAGAUGUCAAG